CCAGUAGUCAUAUGCUUGUCUCAAAGAUUAAGCCAUGCAUGUCUAAGUAUAAGCAAUUUACACCGUGAAACUGCGAAUGGCUCAUUAAAUCAGUUAUCGUUUAUUUGAUAGUACCUUACUACUUGGAUAACCGUGGUAAUUCUAGAGCUAAUACAUGCUAAAAACCCCGACUUCGGAAGGGGUGUAUUUAUUAGAUAAAAAACCAAUGCCCUUCGGGGCUCCUUGGUGAUUCAUAAUAACUUAACGAAUCGCAUGGCCUUGUGCCGGCGAUGGUUCAUUCAAAUUUCUGCCCUAUCAACUUUCGAUGGUAGGAUAGUGGCCUACCAUGGUUUCAACGGGUAACGGGGAAUUAGGGUUCUAUUCCGGAGAGGGAGCCUGAGAAACGGCUACCACAUCCAAGGAAGGCAGCAGGCGCGCAAAUUACCCAAUCCCGACACGGGGAGGUAGUGACAAUAAAUACUGAUACAGGGCUCUUUUGGGUCUUGUAAUUGGAAUGAGUACAAUUUAAAUCCCUUAACGAGGAACAAUUGGAGGGCAAGUCUGGUGCCAGCAGCCGCGGUAAUUCCAGCUCCAAUAGCGUAUAUUAAAGUUGUUGCAGUUAAAAAGCUCGUAGUUGAACCUUGGGCCUGGCUGGCCGGUCCGCCUCACCGCGUGCACUGGUCCGGCCGGGCCUUUCCUUCUGGGGAGCCGCAUGCCCUUCACUGGGUGCGUCGGGGAACCAGGACUUUUACUUUGAAAAAAUUAGAGUGUUCAAAGCAGGCCUAUGCUCGAAUACAUUAGCAUGGAAUAAUAGAAUAGGACGUGUGGUUCUAUUUUGUUGGUUUCUAGGACCGCCGUAAUGAUUAAUAGGGAUAGUCGGGGGCAUCAGUAUUCAAUUGUCAGAGGUGAAAUUCUUGGAUUUAUUGAAGACUAACUACUGCGAAAGCAUUUGCCAAGGAUGUUUUCAUUAAUCAGUGAACGAAAGUUAGGGGAUCGAGACGAUCAGAUACCGUCGUAGUCUUAACCAUAAACUAUGCCGACUAGGGAAUCGGGCGAUGUUAUCUUUUUUGACUCGCUUCGGCACCUUAC
rnacentral:rRNA from 1 species